rnacentral:rRNA from 1 species
AGAUUGAACGCUGGCGGCAUGCCUUACACAUGCAAGUCGAACGGCAGCACGGGGGCAAUCCUGGUGGCGAGUGGCGAACGGGUGAGUAAUAUAUCGGAACGUGCCCAGUCGUGGGGGAUAACGCAGUGAAAGCUGUGCUAAUACCGCAUACGAUCUAUGGAUGAAAGCGGGGGACUCGCAAGAGCCUCGCGCGAUUGGAGCGGCCGAUAUCAGAUUAGCUAGUUGGUGAGGUAAAGGCUCACCAAGCCUUCGAUCUGUAGCUGGUCUGAGAGGACGACCAGCCACACUGGGACUGAGACACGGCCCAGACUCCUACGGGAGGCAGCAGUGGGAAUUUUGGACAAUGGGCGAAAGCCUGAUCCAGCCAUGCCGCGUGCAGGAUGAAGGCCUUCGGUUGUAACUGUCUUUGUACGUACGAAAGUCUACUUCUAAUAAGAGGAUCAUGACGUACGUAAGAAUAAGCACCGCUAACUACG